UACGGAGGGUGCAAGCGUUGUCCGGAUUUAUUGGGUUUAAAGGGUGCGUAGGCGGCCCGUUAAGUCAGCGGUGAAAUCCCAGGGCUCAACCCUGGAACUGCCGUUGAUACUGGAGGGCUUGAGUUCGGUGGAGGCGGGCGGAACUGGCGGUGUAGCGGUGAAAUGCUUAGAUACCGCGAAGAACCCCGAUUGCGUAGGCAGCCCGCUAGGCUGAAACUGACGCUGAGGCACGAAAGCGUGGGGAGCAAACAGG
rnacentral:misc_RNA from 1 species